AUUGGUUGAAUACACUAACACAUUGAUGACGUCACCGAGGUUGCUUGCAUUAUGAUGGUAACCAUGACACAUGAUCUUCAAAAUUCCUAUGAGGACUACUGGCCCUAUGAGAUGAACUUGGAUCUUGCUCAAAUGUUCCAUAAGAAAGAGAGGCUGUAACGACCAAAAAUUUGAGCCAAUUUUAAACAUUUUAUUUCAUUCAAAAACCAUUAAGUUCAUACAUCUUAUUUUCAAAUUAGUUUAAACAUCAGAGUAUCCCCCAGAACCAUAUCACAUGAAUCAUAAAACAUGAGGAGCGGUACGAUCACGCAUUCGCCUUGCCACAAUCUCCUGAAGUACAUGAAACAAUACACUGAACUAUAAGCCCGAAAGCUUAGUGAGUUACCCCCAAAAUACCAACCACAUACAACCAUAAUCAUAACAUAUUCUAUCACAAUACAGAAUAACCAUGCCUCUCAAGUCUGCAGCAUGACUGGUUCGCCCUCAACAGGCCUUCAGUUCACCUGGUCCACUCUCUGAGUCUACAGUAGGACUGGACCGCCUGCACCAGGCCUUCAGUCUAUCUGGAUCUAUCCGAGCCUUCGGUAUGAAUGGACCGCCAUACGGGCCUACAAUGUAUCCGGACCGUUCGUAGGGUAUGUUUGCUUUCAGUACAAAGCAAGACCGCCUCAACCUAAACAUCAAGCAAAUAACCAUGUGUACAUAUAACAGGAAAUCACAUAACAGUCCAUAGGCAAACAAAUCGAUCUAGCAGAUCAUAAAGCAUAGGAUCAUCCUUACCAGGAUAUCGACCUAACCAGUCACUAACAUAGCAUCAUCCUAUAUACCAGGAUAUCGACCUAAACCAGGUCACUAACAUAGCNCUUACCAGGAAUCGACCUAACCAGUCACUAACAUAGCAUCAUCCUAUAUACCAGGAUAUCGACCUAAACCAGGUCACUAACAUAGCAUCAUCCUAUAUACCAGGAUACCGACCUAAACCAGGUCACCGACAAAAUACUGUCCCAAUUACCAGGACGCCGAUCUAACAGAUCAACAAGCACAUCAACAGUACAAGUACAAAUAUCAGAUAUAACUAUCUCACAGAUCAUCGAUCAUAGAAAUCUCUCAUGACCAAGGCAUCGACUUAACUAGGUCACUAACAUACCAAUCCUAACAGAUCACAUGAGCAUAACAACAUAUUGUCUAUUCUGAUACCAAUCUAACAGAUCAUAACCACAUGUAGCAUACUGUAACCAAGAUAACAGCUA
rnacentral:lncRNA from 1 species